GUUGUCAUCGUCGUCGUCGUCGUCGUCGUCAUGAUGAGUGGCAGCCCCUCCACCUCCAUCUCUUCAGCUUCGGGAGUUUGCGAGGAAGCUUUGAUUCUUCUCCUCAGGACACUUCAUCUCGAGAUGAUGCUUCUCAUCAAUGAAGUACUUCACUUGAAUGAGGCGCUUCUUGAGGAGAUAGUCUCGGAAGUACUUCUCCUCUGUGCGGCACUUCGCCCUGGCCAUGCGCUGCACCUCAAAGAGGCGCUCCUCUUCCAUGGUGCAUCUUUCUUUGCCAAGGUUCUUUUCCUGGAGAUGCUUCACCCCGCCGACGUCCUUCAACUCCCCAAUUAUCCUCUGAUCAAGCAAAGAUAAGCAAAGGAACAUUCAGACAUGCACAUGCAAGCAAACAUUCAUACCCACAGGCACGCAAACGUGGACGUGCACAUAAACCCAAACAAAAAACAUACUCACACAUGUAUGUACAGAUGCAGCCACCCACAUUAAGUCAUUCAAACUUGCUUAGUACACACUAUCACCUGAUGUUAACACAAUGCCUUAUCCAUCAAUACUUGUAUCACAUUGUACAUGUAGUACUAACCUCUAAAUAUCCCAACUCCUAUAGAAUCAAAAUACAUGUCACAUCCUCAUAUAUCCUCAUAAACCCCAUGCAUGCACUCAAGACUUUGUUCGAUUGUCACGGUUUCAUACAAUUGUUGGCAAUAAUCAUCUCUGGCAAUAGUUUUCACAGAAUGUUCCAUUAUAAAUAUUUAGAAGCCCAUACUCUGGAGAAACUUCACUGAGCGCCUAUAGUAGGCAACUGGAAUGGCAACUUCCAAUCAACUCACAGACAUAAUUCAUGUGACUGCCUGAUAUCAUUCUGUCUUCAUUGGUAAUAAAUGGCCACUUCAAGUGCCUGCAUGAG